rnacentral:ncRNA from 1 species
UGUUCCAGAAUAAUCGGCUAGACUUUAUAAGCUUGUACUCUAAUUGUUGUUAAUCUUGAAUUUUUGGAGUGUACUUUUGAUUUUAUGGUGAAAUUGAAGAUUUUUGUGUGUGUGUGUUUAAGAUUAUAAGAUUUAGUGAACGAACCAGAUUAGUACCUGGUUAGAUAAAAAUUAAAAGAGCAGGAGUAAAGUUGAGUUUAAACUGUAAUAAUAUUGGCAGGCUUUUAAAUUAUCUUUGGAGGCUGAGUAGUAAUUGAGAGCCCUCAUUUACAACUCUUAUUUUGGGCUCAUGUAUGAUCGUUUAUUUUAUUCUUAAGGAUUGUAAUCUUAGUUUUUAUCUGUUAAAAUAGAUAUAUACUUGGUUUAUAUAGGAGGCUAAUUUGGCCUACAAUGUUGUAUUUUUUGGAUAGUGCUGGCAGUUGGUACUUGAAAUUGUAAAAGACAGUAAAGUCCCUUUAAUGGGGGAUUGAAGUUUAUUUAAAAGCGGUACAAAUCAUCCAUCAAUUGCCUAUAGGGGAGUAAGUUGUAGUAA